GCCAGCCAGUCGUGUCUCAGCCUGGAGAGUGCGCGCACCGCCGCCCGGGCAGCCGCUGGCUCCAGCUCACGAAACAGCCCCGGGCGCCGCGCCGCUCCGAGUCCAGCCUCCUACUGAGAACAGUCCCUCCCUCGUGCGGGUCUCACGGCUAGCCGCAGGUUCGGCCACGUCAAAUCCAUUUUCUAAAAAAGCAGGGAGCAGAGCUCUCUCUUCGCCGCCGACGCAGAAAGGAGCUGGGGAGGAAAAAGCUGCUGCCUUUUGCGCUGGAGAUUCGUGGGCAAGGCUUCUCAUUUUCCCAGGCUGCUUCCCCUCCCGGGUGAGGAGCGUCCUGAGACUAAGGAAAGAGCCUGGAAAAUGGAGCAGACCUGGACGAGAGAUUAUUUUGCAGAGGAUGAUGGGGAGAUGGUACCCAGAACGAGUCACACAGCAGAAAUGAAUUUCCAUCUUUUCUGAACAUAAAAAAAAGAAGAAUUCUAAGAAGUUGACUGAAGCAUCUGGGUGCUUUUUCUUGGGCUCCUUCUGCUUUUCUUAGUGACACUAAAGAUCGAGGCCCUCCAGUGCAGUCACAGAUCUGGAGAAGUGGUGAAAAGGUCCCGUUUGUGCAGACAUAUUCCUUGAGAGCAUUUGAGAAACCCCCUCAGGUACAGACCCAGGCUCUUCGAGACUUUGAGAAGCACCUCAAUGACCUGAAGAAGGAGAACUUCAGCCUCAAGCUGCUCAUCUACUUCCUGGAGGAGCGCAUGCAACAGAAGUAUGAGGCCAGCCGGGAGGACAUCUACAAGCGGGGGUGAUGUGGAGAAUCUCAACAGUCAGAAUGAAGCUGAGCUCCGACGCCAGUUUGAGGAGCGACAGCAGGAGACGGAGCAUGUUUAUGAGCUCUUGGAGAAUAAGAUCCAGCUUCUGCAGGAGGAAUCCAGGCUAGCAAAGAAUGAAGCUGCGCGGAUGGCAGCUCUGGUGGAAGCAGAGAAGGAGUGUAACCUGGAGCUCUCAGAGAAACUGAAGGGAGUCACCAAAAACUGGGAAGAUGUACCAGGAGACCAGGUCAAGCCCGACCAAUACACUGAGACCCUGGCCCAGAGGGACAAGAGAAUUGAAGAACUGAAUCAGAGCCUGGCUGCCCAGGAGAGGCUUGUAGAACAGCUAUCUCGGGAGAAACAACAACUGCUACAUCUGUUGGAGGAGCCAACUAGCAUGGAAGUGCAGCCCAUGACUGAAGAGUUGCUGAAACAACAAAAGCUGAAUUCACAUGAGACCACUAUAACUCAGCAGUCUGUAUCUGAUUCCCACUUGGCAGAACUCCAGGAAAAAAUCCAGCAAACAGAGGCCACCAACAAGAUUCUUCAAGAGAAACUUAAUGAAAUGAGCUAUGAACUAAAGUGUGCUCAGGAGUUGUCUCAAAAGCAAGAUGGUACAAUUCAGAACCUCAAGGAAACUCUGAAAAGCAGGGAACGUGAGACUGAGGAGUUGUACCAGGUAAUUGAAGGUCAAAAUGACACAAUGGCAAAGCUUCGAGAAAUGCUGCACCAAAGCCAGCUUGGACAACUUCACAGCUCAGAGGGUACUUCUCCAGCUCAGCAACAGGUAGCUCUGCUUGAUCUUCAGAGUGCUUUAUUCUGCAGCCAACUUGAAAUACAGAAGCUCCAGAGGGUGGUACGACAGAAAGAGCGCCAACUGGCUGAUGCCAAACAAUGUGUGCAAUUUGUAGAGGCUGCAGCACACGAGAGUGAACAGCAGAAAGAGGCUUCUUGGAAACAUAACCAGGAAUUGCGAAAAGCCUUGCAGCAGCUACAAGAAGUAUUGCAGAAUAAGAGCCAACAGCUUCGUGCCUGGGAGGCUGAAAAAUACAAUGAGAUUCGAACCCAGGAACAAAACAUCCAGCACCUAAACCAUAGUCUGAGUCACAAGGAGCAGUUGCUUCAGGAAUUUCGGGAGCUCCUACAGUAUCGAGAUAACUCAGACAAAACCCUUGAAGCAAAUGAAAUGUUGCUUGAGAAACUUCGCCAGCGAAUACGUGAUAAAGCUGUUGCUCUGGAGCGGGCUAUAGAUGAAAAAUUCUCUGCUCUAGAAGAGAAAGAAAAAGAACUGCGCCAGCUUCGUCUUGCUGUGAGAGAGCGAGAUCAUGACCUAGAGAGACUGCGCGAUGUCCUCUCCUCCAAUGAAGCUACUAUGCAAACUAUGGAGAGUCUCCUGAGGGCCAAAGGCCUGGAAGUGGAACAGUUAUCUACUACCUGUCAAAACCUCCAGUGGCUGAAAGAAGAAAUGGAAACCAAAUUUAGCCGUUGGCAGAAGGAACAAGAGAGUAUCAUUCAGCAGUUACAGACGUCUCUUCAUGAUAGGAACAAAGAAGUGGAGGAUCUUAGUGCAACAUUGCUCUGCAAACUUGGACCAGGGCAGAGUGAGAUAGCAGAGGAGCUGUGCCAGCGUCUACAGUGAAAGGAAAGGAUGCUGCAGGACCUUCUAAGUGAUCGAAAUAAACAAGUGCUGGAACAUGAAAUGGAGAUUCAAGGCCUGCUUCAGUCUGUGAGCACCAGGGAGCAGGAAAGCCAAGCUGCUGCAGAGAAGUUGGUGCAAGCCUUAAUGGAAAGAAAUUCAGAAUUACAGGCCCUGCACCAAUAUUUAGGAGGGAGAGACUCCCUGAUGUCCCAAGCACCCAUCUCUAACCAACAAGCUGAAGUUACCCCCACUGGCCGUCUUGGAAAACAGACUGAUCAAGGUUCAAUGCAGAUACCUUCCAGAGAUGAUAGCACUUCAUUGACUGCCAAAGAGGAUGUCAGCAUACCCAGAUCCACAUUAGGAGACUUGGACACAGUUGCAGGGCUGGAAAAAGAACUGAGUAAUGCCAAAGAGGAACUUGAACUCAUGGCUAAAAAAGAAAGAGAAAGUCAGCUUUACCCCUCAAACAUGGGAGAAAAAGUUUCAGCAUUUUAAUUCAAAUUGGUAAAAGGCUGAGCAACCCUUAAAGCUGCCAUAAUGGAAGAAGACUGUGAGCUAGCUUAAAAAAGAGAGAAUGAAGGGGAAGAAACAAAACCCCUGUGUGGCAGAGUGUCGAGAUGAGAUGAGCAUUUAUUUGUCUCCGUCGAAUUCCUUACGGAGAUAAGGUGCAGCUGCAGGGGAUGACACCGAAGAUACAAGCACUGAGUUCACUGACAGUAUUGAGGAGGAGGCUGCACACCAUAGUCACCAGCAACUUGUCAAGGUGGCUUUGGAGAAAAGUCUGGCAACUGUGGAGACCCAGAACCCAUCUUUUUCCCCUCCUUCUCCGAUGGGAGGGGACAGUAACAGGUGUCUUCAGGAAGAAAUGCUCCACCUGAGGGCUGAGAUCCACCAGCACUUAGAAGAGAAGAGGAAAGCUGAGGAGGAACUGAAGGAGCUAAAGGCUCAAAUUGAGGAAGCAGGAUUCUCCUCAGUGUCCCACAUCAGGAACACCAUGCUGAGCCUUUGCCUUGAGAAUGCGGAGCUGAAAGAGCAGAUGGGAGAAACAAUGUCUGAUGGAUGGGAGAUCGAGGAAGACAAGGAGAAGGGCGAGGUGAUGGUUGAGACUGUGGUAACCAAAGAGGGUCUGAGUGAGAGUAGCCUUCAGGCUGAGUUCAGAAAGCUCCAGGGAAAACUGAAGAAUGCCCACAAUAUCAUCAACCUCCUCAAAGAACAACUUGUGCUGAGUAGCAAGGAAGGGAAUAGUAAACUUACUCCAGAGCUCCUUGUGCAUCUGACCAGCACCAUCGAAAGAAUAAACACAGAACUGGUUGGUUCCCCUGGGAAGCACCAACACCAAGAGGAGGGGAAUGUGACUGUGAGGCCUUUCCCCAGACCCCAGAGCCUUGACCUUGGGGCUACCUUCACAGUGGAUGCCCACCAAUUGGAUAACCAGUCCCAGCCUCGUGACCCUGGGCCUCAGUCAGCGUUUAGCCUACCAGGGUCCACCCAGCACCUGCGCUCCCAGCUGUCACAAUGCAAACAACGCUAUCAAGAUCUCCAGGAGAAGCUGCUGCUAUCAGAAGCCACUGUCUUUGCUCAGGCUAACGAGCUGGAGAAAUACAGAGUUAUGCUUACAGGUGAAUCCUUGGUGAAGCAGGACAGCGAGCAGAUCCAGGUGGACCUCCAGGACCUGGGCUAUGAGACUUGUGGCCGAAGCGAGAAUGAGGCUGAACGGGAGGAAACCACCAGUCCUGAGUGUGAGGAGCACAACAGCCUCAAGGAAAUGGUCCUGAUGGAGGGGCUGUGCUCUGAGCAGGGACGCCGGGGCUCAACACUGGCUAGUUCCUCUGAGAGGAAGCCCUUGGAGAACCAGCUAGGGAAGCAGGAAGAGUUCCGGGUAUAUGGAAAGUCAGAAAACAUCUUGGUCCUACGAAAGGACAUCGAAGAUCUGAAGGCCCAGCUGCAGAAUGCCAACAAGAUCAUUCAAAACCUCAAGAGCCGGGUCCGGUCCCUCUCAGUUACAAGUGAUUAUUCGUCUAGUCUGGAAAGACCCCGGAAGCUGAGAGCUGUUGGCACCUUGGAGGGGUCUUCACCUCAUAGUGUCCCUGAUGAGGAUGAGGGGUGGCUGUCUGAUGGCACUGGGGCUUUCUACUCUCCAGGGCUUCAGGCCAAAAAGGACCUGGAGAGUCUCAUCCAGAGAGUAUCCCAGCUGGAGGCCCAGCUCCCAGAAAAUGGACUAGAAGAGAAGCUGGCUGAGGAGCUGAGAUCAGCCUCGUGGCCUGGGAAAUAUGAUUCCCUGAUUCAGGAUCAGGCCCGGGAACUGUCUUACCUACGGCAAAAAAUACGAGAAGGGAGAGGUAUUUGUUAUCUUAUCACCCAGCAUGCAAAAGAUACAGUAAAAUCUUUUGAGGAUCUCCUAAGGAGCAAUGACAUUGACUACUACCUGGGACAGAGCUUCCGGGAGCAACUCGCCCAGGGAAGCCAGCUGACAGAGAGGCUCACCAGCAAACUCAGCACCAAGGAUCAUAAAAGUGAGAAAGAUCAAGCUGGACUUGAGCCACUGGCCCUCAGGCUCAGCAGGGAGCUGCAGGAGAAGGAGAAAGUGAUUGAAGUCCUGCAGGCCAAGCUGGAUGCUCGGUCCCUCACACCCUCCAGCAGCCGUGCCUUGUCUGACUCCCACCGCUCUCCCAGCAGCACCUCUUUCCUGUCUGAUGAGCUGGAAGCCUGCUCUGACAUGGACAUAGUCAGCGAGUACACACACUAUGAAGAGAAGAAAGCUUCUCCCAGUCACUCAGAUUCCAUCCAUCAUUCGAGUCAUUCUGCUGUGUUGUCUUCUAAACCAUCAUCAACCAGUGCAUCUCAGGGGGCUAAGGCCGAAUCCAACAGCAACCCCAUCAGCUUGCCAACUCCCCAGAAUACCCCCAAGGAGGCCAACCAAGCCCAUUCAGGCUUUCAUUUUCACUCCAUACCCAAGCUGGCUAGCCUUCCUCAGGCACCAUUGCCCUCAGCUCCAUCCAGCUUCCUGCCUUUCAGCCCCACUGGCCCUCCCCUCCUUGGCUGCUGUGAGACACCAGAGGUCUCCUUGGCUGAGUCUCAGCAGGAGCUACAGAUGCUGCAGAAGCAGUUGGGAGAAAGUACCAGCACUGUUCCUCCUGCUUCCACAGCUACAUUGCUGAGCAACGACUUGGAAGCCGACUCUUCCUACUACCUCAACUCUGCCCAGCCUCACUCUCCUCCAAGGGGCACCAUAGAACUGGGAAGAAUCCUAGAGCCUGGGUACCUGGGCAGCAGUGGCAAGUGGGAUGUGAUGAGGCCUCAGAAAGGGAGUGUAUCUGGGGACCUAUCCUCAGGCUCCUCUGUGUACCAGCUUAACUCCAAACCCACAGGGGCUGACCUGCUGGAAGAGCAUCUUGGUGAAAUCCGGAACCUGCGCCAGCGCCUGGAGGAGUCCAUCUGCAUCAAUGACUGCCUACGGGAGCAACUGGAACACCGGCUGACCUCUACUGCUCGUGGAAGGGGAUCCACUUCUAACUUCUACAGUCAGGGCCUGGAGUCCAUACCUCAGCUCUGCAAUGAGAACAGAGUCCUCAGGGAAGAAAAUCGAAGACUUCAGGCUCAACUGAGUCAUGUUUCCAGAGAGCACUCCCAGGAAACAGAAAGCCUGAGGGAGGCUCUGCUGUCCUCUCGAUCCCACCUUCAAGAGCUGGAAAAGGAGCUGGAGCACCAGAAGGUGGAAAGGCAGCAGCUUUUGGAAGACUUGAGGGAGAAGCAGCAAGAGGUCUUGCAUUUCAGGGAGGAACGUCUUUCCCUCCAGGAAAACGACUCCAGACUGCAGCACAAGCUGGUUCUCCUGCAGCAACAGUGUGAAGAGAAACAGCAGCUCUUUGAGUCCCUCCAGUCAGAGCUACAAAUCUACGAGGCACUUUAUGGCAAUUCCAAGAAGGGGCUGAAAGCUUACAGCCUGGAUGCCUGUCACCAAAUCCCUUUGAGCAGUGACCUGAGCCACCUGGUGGCAGAGGUACGAGCUCUGAGAGGGCAGCUGGAGCAGAGCAUUCAGGGGAACAAUUGUCUGCGACUGCAGCUGCAACAGCAGCUGGAGAGCGGUGCUGGCAAAGCCAGCCUCAGCCCCUCCUCCAUUAACCAGAACUUCCCAGCCAGCACUGACCCUGGAAACAAGCAGCUGCUCCUCCAAGAUUCAGCUGUGUCCCCUCCAGUCCGGGAUGUUGGUAUGAAUUCCCCAGCUCUGGUCUUCCCCAGCUCUGCUUCCUCUACUCCUGGCUCAGAAACGCCCAUAAUCAACAGAGCAAAUGGCUUGGGUUUGGAUACUUCUCCAGUAAUGAAGACCCCUCCCAAGCUAGAGGGUGAUGCUACUGAUGGCUCCUUUGCCAAUAAGCAUGGCCGCCAUGUCAUUGGCCACAUUGAUGACUACAGUGCCCUAAGACAGCAGAUUGCGGAGGGCAAGCUGCUGGUCAAAAAGAUAGUGUCUCUUGUGAGAUCAGCGUGCAGCUUCCCUGGCCUUGAAGCCCAAGGCACAGAGGUGCUAGGCAGCAAAGGCAUUCAUGAGCUUCGGAGCAGCACCAGUGCCCUGCACCAUGCCCUAGAGGAGUCGGCUUCCCUCCUCACCAUGUUCUGGAGAGCGGCCCUGCCAAGCACCCACAUCCCUGUGCUGCCUGGCAAAGUGGGAGAAUCAACAGAAAGGGAACUUCUGGAACUGAGAACCAAAGUAUCCAAACAGGAGCAGCUCCUUCAGAGCACAACUGAGCAUCUGAAGAAUGCCAACCAGCAGAAGGAGAGCAUGGAACAGUUCAUUGUCAGCCAGCGUAGGUUCCCUGAGAGGGAACGGGGGCAGAAACAGGCAGUCUUCCCGAUGCCCCACUUGUGCUUCAGAUGAGAAGUGAUCAGGGGGGCUUGGGGAUGUUGGGAGUGGAGACUGAUUUGAUGUCCCCAAACCUCCUGUGCCAGGAGCAAUUGUGGCUGCAGAGGGAGGGGAGGACAGGGGGUGGAUAGAAGGAGACUCCAAGCUGAAUAGCCAGAAAGAAAUAAAUGCUUUAGAAUUCUCACGCUAAGCAAGUAGGGUUAAUUUCUGCUGGUGGUUUCUACUCUGUGGUGCUCUUUUGUUGUUUCAGUAACCAGAACACAUGAUGUUUUAAAGAAGGCAAGGACUAACUUAGAGGUGAAAUCCCUAAGGGCUCUGCCGUGUACUCCAGCCUUGUGACCCUUGCCUUCCAGGAACCAUGCAAGAAGCGCAGCCACCAGAAGUCCUUAAAACAGCAGGAAAGGAUUUCCUUUUUAUCACUGGUUUUGAUGGAUUUGAUUAAGGCGUUCCUUGGUGAAGUUUUCUUCAUGUUUCUUGUUCUUAGAAUAAUCAUAUUUCUGUAAUAUUUGAAGUUUAUGGUUUCCAUGGAGCUUCUAAAUCUUUCAUCCAGUAUGUUUUAAAUAUCUUUGUCUCUCUUCUCCACUACACGCCCUUCAGGGAUUCCAUUUAGCCCUAUACUGGGGGGUUUAAAGUUUUGAUGCCAAUGGUCUUUUUAUGUUUUCAAGUCAUUUGUUACUGUGUGUUUCAUUUAUGUUAGUUUCAACUUCUAUUCCUUCUAGUUCAAUAAUCUUCUCUUCUGCAAUGUUUAAUCCACUGCCUUCUUCCAUUUCAGACUGUAAAUCAUACUUUUUAUCUACAGAAUUUGAUAUUUAAAAAAUCUUCAACCUCCCCAUUUAAUUAAAAUACAAUUAUACUAACUGCUCUAAUGUCCUUUUCUUCUAUGUCCAACAUGUCUGUCAAUUUCAACUAGAUUAUUAGAUUCUUCAUUAUGUGUCAUGUUUUCCUGCUUCUUUGGCUGCUUCAUAUUCUUUUAUUUUUUUUUUUUUUGCGGGGGGAUAGAGUUUUGCUCUCAUUGCCCAGGCUGGAGUGCAAUGGUGUGAUCUCAGCUCACUGCAACCUCCACCUCCCAGGUACACAAGCGAUUCUCCUGUCUCAGCCUCCCAAGUAGCUCAGAUUACAGGCAUGCACAAUCAUGCCUGGCUAAUUUUUUUGUAUUUAGUAGAUAUGGGGUUUCACCAUGUUAGUCAGGCUGGUCGUGAACUCCUGACCUCAGGUGAUCCAUCUGGCUGCUUGAUAUUCUAAGAUUUGAUGCUGGAACUUUGGUGUCAAUGCUCAAAAUGCCCAAAGACACCACUCAACCUCAGUGUCUAUGCACACCCAAGCUUUUGCAGCAGGACAGGUAGAGCAGAGAUGAGUGUGCUACAACAUGCUGGUAGAGGGUACCCCCAAUUGUGCUUGGGGAUUUCCUAUUCCUCAUGGAAAAAUGUGUCUUCCUUAAUUUUUCCCAUAAGAACCACCCUACUUCAUGCCCUGUCUCUCUGUCCAAACACCAGGACAGUCCUCUCACCAGUCUCAACCACCCAAUGGAUUGACAAAGGUGCAAAUAUGAUUCAGUGGAGAAGGCAUUCUCUUGUCAACAAAUUGUGUAGAAACAACUUUUUUUUACACAAUUUUUUUUUUAUCCCCAAAGGAAAAAAAUUCACCUGAACCUCAAUACUAACUCAAAAACUAACUCAAAAUGGAUUAUGCAACUAAAUAUAAACUAUAAAACUAGAAAAAGUAUAGCAGAAAAUAUAAGACAAAAUCUUCAUGACACAGAGUUAGGUAAAGUGUUCUUUAUUAUCAAUAAACACAAACCAUUAAAGAAAA